UGGGGAAUCUUGCGCAAUGGGCGAAAGCCUGACGCAGCAACGCCGUGUGUGCGAUGAAGGCCCUCGGGUCGUAAAGCACUGUUUACGGGAAAGAUGGGUAGGUGUCUUAAUACGGCACUUAUUUGACGGUACCCGUGUAGGAAGCACCGGCUAACUCUGUGCCAGCAGCCGCGGUAAUACAGAGGGUGCAAGCGUUGUUCGGAAUUAUUGGGCGUAAAGCGCGCGUAGGCGGUUAUUCAAGUCGGAUGUGAAAGCCCGGGGCUCAACCUCGGAAGUGCAUCCGAAACUGGAUGACUUGAAUCCUGGAGGGGGCAGUGGAAUUCCCGGUGUAGAGGUGAAAUUCGUAGAUAUCGGGAGGAACACCAGUGGCGAAGGCGACUGCCUGGACAGUGAUUGACGCUGAGGUGCGAAAGCGUGGGUAGCAAACAGGAUUAGAUACCCCCGUAGUCC
rnacentral:rRNA from 1 species